rnacentral:rRNA from 1 species
UUCGCCCUUAGAGUUUGAUCCUGGCUCAGGACGAACGCUGGCGGCGUGCUUAACACAUGCAAGUCGAACGGAGCGCCUAUGAAGGAGAUUUCGGUCAACGGAAUAGGUUGCUUAGUGGCGGACGGGUGAGUAACGCGUGAGGAACCUGCCUUUCAGAGGGUGACAACAGUUGGAAACGACUGCUAAUACCGCAUAACACAUAGGUGUCGCAUGGCAUUUAUGUCAAAGACUUAUCGCUGAAAGAUGGCCUCGCGUCUGAUUAGCUAGUUGGUGAGGUAACGGCUCACCAAGGCGACGAUCAGUAGCCGGACUGAGAGGUUGGCCGGCCACAUUGGGACUGAGAUACGGCCCAGACUCCUACGGGAGGCAGCAGUGGGGAAUAUUGGGCAAUGGGCGCAGGCCUGACCCAGCAACGCCGCGUGAAGGAAGAAGGCUUUCGGGUUGUAAACUUCUUCUGACAGGGAAGAGUAGAAGACGGUACCUGUCGAAUAAGCCACGGCUAACUACGUGCCAGCAGCCGCGGUAAUACGUAGGUGGCAAGCGUUGUCCGGAUUUACUGGGUGUAAAGGGCGUGUAGCCGGGUUGACAAGUCAGAUGUGAAAUCCUGCGGCUUAACCGCAGAACUGCAUUUGAAACUGUUGAUCUUGAGUACUGGAGAGGCAGACGGAAUUCCUAGUGUAGCGGUGAAAUGCGUAGAUAUUAGGAGGAACACCAGUGGCGAAGGCGGUCUGCUGGACAGCAACUGACGGUGAGGCGCGAAAGCGUGGGGAGCAAACGGGAUUAGAUACCCUGGUAGUCCACGCUGUAAACGAUGGAUACUAGGGUGUGGGGGGGACCUGACCCCCUGGGGUGCCGCAGCAAACGCAAAAAGUAUCCCACCUGGGGAGUACGAUCGCAAGGUUGAAACUCAAAGGAAUUGACGGGGGCCCGCACAAGCGGUGGAUUAUGUGGUUUAAUUCGAUGCAACGCGAAGAACCUUACCAGGGCUUGACAUCCUACUAACGAAGUAGAGAUACAUUAGGUACCCUUCGGGGGAAGUAGAGACAGGUGGAGCAUGGUUGUCGUCAGCUCGUGUCGUGAGAUGUUGGGUUAAGUCCCGCAACGAGCGCAACCCUUAUUGUUAGUUGCUACGCAAGAGCACUCUAGCGAGACUGCCGUUGACAAAACGGAGGAAGGUGGGGACGACGUCAAAUCAUCAUGCCCCUUAUGUCCUGGGCUACACACGUAAUACAAUGGCGGCCAACAGAGGGGUGCAAAGCUGUGAAGUGGAGCGAACCCCUAAAAGCCGUCCCAGUUCAGAUUGCAGUCUGCAACUCGAAUGCAUGAAGUCGGAAUCGCUAGUAAUCGCGGAUCAGCAUGCCGCGGUGAAUACGUUCCCGGGCCUUGCAC